rnacentral:rRNA from 1 species
CACGAAACAAAUUGAGCUAACAAUUGAUCUUUAUAGAAGAAAAUAUGUUGCAUAAUACUUACAAAUUGACUGUUAGGGGUGAUAGGCCUUUCAACUUUUGUGAUAACUUGAUGCUUUUGAAGUAUAUUUAGUAUUUAAUUAACUAUGAAGCGCCGAGGUUUCACAGGUAAAUAAAUAUUUUUAAACAUUUCAUGUAAGAUUUAAUAAUCAACAAAUUGUAAAUAUAAUAUUAAUGUAGAGAAUUUAUUGUAAUUAAAAAGCACUAGAUAAUUUGUUUUCCUAUUUUUAAUGUUGUUAUUAGUAGUAGUAAUAGUUAUUAAAAAUGAACUCGGCAAAAUGUUUCUCAACUGUUUAUCAAAAACAUAGCUAUUAGGCUUAUUAAUGGUGUAUUCUGCUCAAUGAAAUUUUUAAAUAGCCGCAGUACACUGACUGUGCAAAGGUAGCAUAAUCAGUUGGCUUAUAAUUGAAGUCUUGUAUGAAUGAAUAAAUGGGGAAUAACUGUAUCUUAAAUAAAAAGUGAAGUUGCUAAGUAAGUGCAAAUUCUUACAAUUAUAUAAUAGACGAGAAGACCCUAGAAAUUUUUAAUAAUUCACCUUUUAUUUUUGUUGGGGCAACAGUGUAACAUGUAACUUACAUUAACAGGACAAGAAAUAUUAUUGAAAGAUAAAAUUACUCUAGGGAUAACAGCGUAAUAUAUGAUAUGUUUGCGACCUCGAUGUUGGACUAGGAAACGAAAGCCUAG